rnacentral:rRNA from 1 species
GACGAACGCUGGCGGCGUGCCUAACACAUGCAAGUCGAGCGGAGUCGAUCGACGGAAGCCUUCGGGCGGAAGAUGGUUGACUUAGCGGCGGAUGGGUGAGUAACGCGUGGGCAACCUGCCUCGAAGACCGGGAUAACAGCCCGAAAGGGCUGCUAAUACCGGAUGUGGUCAAGGAUCCGCAUGGAUUUUUGAUUAAAGGGGAAACCCGUUUCGAGAUGGGCCCGCGUCCUAUCAGCUAGUUGGUGAGGUAAAAGCUCACCAAGGCGACGACGGGUAGCCGGCCUGAGAGGGUGUACGGCCACACUGGAAUUGAGAUACGGUCCAGACUCCUACGGGAGGCAGCAGUGGGGAAUCUUGGGCAAUGGGCGAAAGCCUGACCCAGCGACGCCGCGUGAAGGAAGACGGCCUUAUGGGUUGUAAACUUCUUUACUACGCGAAUAGAGGUUAGUACGAGAUACUAAUAGGAAGGUAGUGUAGUAAAAAGCACCGGCUAACUCCGUG